rnacentral:rRNA from 1 species
AGAGUUUGAUCCUGGCUCAGGACGAACGCUGGCGGCGUGCCUAACACAUGCAAGUCGAGCGAUGAAAUCCUUCGGGAUGGAUUAGCGGCGGACGGGUGAGUAACACGUGGGUAACCUGCCUCAAAGAGGGGAAUAGCCUUCCGAAAGGAAGAUUAAUACCGCAUAAUAUGUUUUGGUCGCAUGACUGAAACAUCAAAGGAGCAAUCCGCUUUGAGAUGGACCCGCGGCGCAUUAGCUAGUUGGUGAGGUAACGGCUCACCAAGGCGACGAUGCGUAGCCGACCUGAGAGGGUGAUCGGCCACAUUGGAACUGAGACACGGUCCAGACUCCUACGGGAGGCAGCAGUGGGGAAUAUUGCGCAAUGGGGGAAACCCUGACGCAGCAACGCCGCGUGAAUGAUGAAGGCCUUCGGGUUGUAAAGUUCUGUCUUCUGGGACGAUAAUGACGGUACCAGAGGAGGAAGCCACGGCUAACUACGUGCCAGCAGCCGCGGUAAUACGUAGGUGGCAAGCGUUGUCCGGAUUUACUGGGCGUAAAGAGUAUGUAGGCGGAUAUUUAAGUCAGAUGUGAAAUUCCCGGGCUUAACCUGGGCGCUGCAUUUGAAACUGGCAAACUUGAGUAUUGGAGAGGAAGGUAGAAUUCCAGGUGUAGCGGUGAAAUGCGUAGAGAUCUGGAGGAAUACCGAUGGCGAAGGCAGCCUUCUGGCCAAAUACUGACGCUGAGGUGCGAAAGCAUGGGGAGCAAACAGGAUUAGAUACCCUGGUAGNNNNNNNNNNNNNNNNNNNNNNNNNNNNNNNNNNNNNNNNNNNNNNNNNNGGCGCAGCUAACGCACUAAGUUGACCGCCUGGGGAGUACGGUCGCAAGACUAAAACUCAAAUGAAUUGACGGGGGCCCGCACAAGCGGUGGAGCAUGUGGUUUAAUUCGAUGCAACGCGAAGAACCUUACCUACUCUUGACAUCCAGAGAAUCCUGUAGAGAUACGGGAGUGCCUUCGGUAACGCUAAGACAGGUGCUGCAUGGCUGUCGUCAGCUCGUGUUGUGAAAUGUUGGGUUAAGUCCCGCAACGCGCGCAACCCUUAUCCUUAGUUGCCAGCGAUAAGGUCGGGAACUCUAGGGAGACUGCCGGUGAUAAACCGGAGGAAGGUGGGGACGACGUCAAGUCAUCAUGGCCCUUACGAGUAGGGCUACACACGUGCUACAAUGGUAUGUACAGAGGGAGGCAAGCUGGCGACAGUGAGCGGAUCUCUUAAAGCAUAUCGUAGUCCGGAUCGCAGUCUGCAACUCGACUGCGUGAAGUCGGAAUCGCUAGUAAUCGCAAAUCAGAAUGUUGCGGUGAAUACGUUCCCGGGCCUUGUACACACCGCCCGUCACACCAUGGGAGUGGGUUGCAAAAGAAGUAGGUAGCUUAACCUUCGGGAGGGCGCUUACCACUUUGUGAUUCAUGACUGGGGUGAAGUCGUAACAAGGUAACC